CGUGGCGAAAGUCACGCUAAUACCGCAUACGUCCUGAGGGAGAAAGCAGGGGAUCGCAAGACCUUGCGCGAUUGGAGCGGCCGAUGUCUGAUUAGCUAGUUGGUGGGGUAAAGGCCUACCAAGGCGACGAUCAGUAGCUGGUCUGAGAGGACGAUCAGCCACACUGGGACUGAGACACGGCCCAGACUCCUACGGGAGGCAGCAGUGGGGAAUUUUGGACAAUGGGCGAAAGCCUGAUCCAGCCAUUCCGCGUGAGUGAAGAAGGCCUUCGGGUUGUAAAGCUCUUUCGGCAGGAACGAAACGGCCGUUUCUAAUAAAGACGGCUAAUGACGGUACCUGAAGAAGAAGCACCGGCUAACUACGUGCCAGCAGCCGCGGUAAUACGUAGGGUGCGAGCGUUAAUCGGAAUUACUGGGCGUAAAGCGUGCGCAGGCGGUUUGGUAAGUCAGAUGUGAAAUCCCCGGGCUCAACCUGGGAACUGCAUUUGAGACUGCCAAGCUGGAGUUUGGCAGAGGG
rnacentral:rRNA from 1 species